AUUCGAUUGACAGAGCGCACAGCAUGACCAGGCCUACUUACUUCCAGGUCUGUGAUUUUGAAAUAGUCAAACCGAAAAACCAAUUGUUCCAUGUUCAUCUCAUCUGCAACAUCCAUUGAGCAACCCGUUACACGUUGGUCAUCACUAGAGGGCAGCAUCAUCUACUAUGUCUUUCAUCACAGUACUUCCAACACUGCGAGAGUACUCAUCAACCUAUGUCCUGCUGGGAGCUCUUGGGGUCUAUGUUGCUUAUUACUACACGAAAGUUGUGCAGAAACCUCAGGUAUUUGGUAAGGAUGGUAAGUUUAUGCAGUUCAUCCAACGACACAUUCCGAUGUUGAGGGAGCCCUUCAGGCCAACCAUGUGGUGCUUUACCUACCACUUACAGACCAUUGGUCCUAUACUGAUGAAAUUCUUCAACUCCUUGCAGUACAGAAGUGAGAAGAUAUUAUUGGCAGAUGGUGGGGAGAUAGUUCUAGAUUGGAUGGAUAAUGACGAAGAUAACAGAUACAGCAAUGCAACCAGACCAACAGUUCUUUUACUUCCAGGUUUAACAGGAUCAAGUCAAAGUCACUAUGCUGUCAAUAUGAUUAAAGCAGCAAAGAAACAUGGAUAUCGAUGUGUUGUCUUCAACAACCGAGGUUUUGGAGGGGCUGAGAUUAAGACUCCAAGAACGUUCUGUGCUGCAAACACAGAAGAUCUUGAGUUUGUGAUUAAACGUAUCCAUAGUUCCCACCCAGAUGCACCUGUCAUAGCUGUAGGAGUCUCUAUUGGUGGCAUAAUUUUGUUCAACUACCUGGCUAAAGUUGGUGAGGACACCCCAUUAGUUGCUGCCAUGACGAUUUCUGUGGCCUGGAAUACCAUGCUGUCAACAGAAUCCCUAGAGAAACCAGUCAAUUUUAUCCUAUUCAAUCGGUUCCUUGCCAAGGAACUCACCAAUGUUCUGGCCAGAAAUGUCCAGAUGUUUGAAGGACAUGUCGACAUCGAUCAUGCCAUGCAGUCGCAAACCAUCAAGGAGUUUGAUGAGCGAUUCACUUCCAAAAUGUUUGGCUAUGAGACAGUGGACCAUUACUACAAGGAUGCAUCAAUACAUACCAAGGUUCAUCAUAUUGGGAUACCAACGCUGUGCCUCAGUGCAGGGGAUGAUCCAUUCGCCCCAUUAGAAACGAUACCCAUAAGUGAUGCCAAAGAGCAGAGUAACAUUGCCGUGGUGGUGACAUCUCAUGGCGGCCAUGUUGGGUUCACAGAGGGUUUCUUUCCACGAGGUAACGGUUACAUGAUUAGGCUGUUUGAACAGUUUGUAGACGGAUUCUUCCAGCACGGAAUGACGGAAGUUCUAUCCAAGACUGACUAGGCUUUUGAAAGGAUCUCAGGGUGCGAGUUGAACUUCAAGCCAGCAGAGAUCUUACACAGCUAGACACGUGGCAUUGUAGAGGGAAAAGAAGUGGGUGGGGCCAGAGUUGCGUCCAAAAGGGGUGUGUGGGUAUCUUUGGGACACCCUGUUAGCCCAUAGUGGAUAUUUGAUUGAUUUGAAAGCACUUUAGCAACAAUUCGAGGAAAUUUAGGUCAUUCAAUUGCCAAAUGCUGUGUAAAGACUUGGUUGGGAGUAUAGCUUCCGUCUACAAAUGGACUUGGUCGGGAGUAUAGCUUCCGUCUACAAAUGGACUUGGUCGGGAGUAUAGCUUCCGUCUACAAAUGGACUUGGUCGGGAGUAUAGCUUCCGUCUACAAAUGGACUUGGACGGGAGUAUAGCUUCUGUCUACAAAUGCCAGUCAAGCUCUUUGUGUGUGGUGCUGGUUUAGAUGAGUUAGAUGCUUAGUUAGAUGAAGUUACGUGAAUCACUUCUACAAAAAUUGUUGAAACUGUACCUCCCAAGAUUUGUCAUUUGGUUUUGUAAUCAAUUUGCUUUUAGUCUGAAAAGAAUUUAUAAGAAGUGCACUUUUUUGUAUUGAGGUAAGAGCUGGUGUGUGAAAUGAGAGUAUUUUAGUUUUUAAACUUGUGUGAGUUCAUAAUAAUUCAAACUAUAACUAGUACUAAAUAUUUUGGGGUAUAUUGUAAAUUUUUCUAAAUUGUAUUUUGUUUGUGCAAUGUAGAAAAUUAUUUUAUGACAAGAUUUAUACUGGCAGGGAAAUAUACCUGGACUGCCUCGUAGUAUGCAAGCUGUCAGGUUUGCAUACCACAGUUUUAUACUGGCAGGGAAAUAUACCUGGACUGCCUCGUUGUAUGCAAGCUGUCAGGUUUGCAUGCCACAGUUUCUCACAGUACACUGCAGACUGAAAGAUUUAUUCAAAUUAUACCACAGCUGUGCACAGGCUGUAAAAUUAAUGGUACUCUUCCUGAAGAAACCACAUCUCCAUUUACCCUGCCUUUAGGAUAAACUAUACAGUUACUAAUUACAUCAAUUGUAUUAUGCGAUUUCAUUAUUUUCAGAAAGCCAGUAAAGCUUGCUUAAUUAACAAUGUAAUAGGAUGUUGACAACUUGAAUAUGUGCAUGUGGCAGAGCUAUAUACAUGUAAUUUACAUUGCAAUGACUUUCGAGCUUCUUCAUUGUGGUAAAAGGAAAUAUAUUUACAUUUAGGAUUUUAUGCACUUAGAUAUUUCAAUAUUCAUGAACCAAAGCAUGAUCUCAUUAAAGAAACAACAGGUGUGUCACACUUUUCUAUAUUUUCUUGCACUGAGUUCCACCGUAUACUUUGUUUUCAUGUUGAAUUGCUUGUUUGGAUGUUGCAGGGUUCCUGCACCUAAAGGACAAUUAAAUUCCAUGACUUUUCCAUGACCAAAUUAUGAAAAUCCAUGACCCAAGGAUUGCAAUUUUUUGAACUCCUCGGAUUUUUAAAGUUGCAAAUAAAAUCACGCAUUUUAUGCACUUAUUUCUGAUAAUAGACAUCACACAGCGUUUGAAAAAUUCCGUGACUUUUCCAGGCUGUCGGAACCCAGAUAUUAGUAGUGGCCAAUAUUCCUUCCAAACGUUGGUGGGUGAUAUUAAAGGGUUGAUGUUUGUAGUGUUUUGAUGCUUGUAUGACAUCGAACUAGCUCCCAGGUUCAGUCUUUGAUGACAAUAUUUUCUAAUUGAAAAUUAAAAAAAACCUUUUCACUUCCAAUGAAAUCACAUAUUUAGAUAUUGUUCAUAUUGUUGUAACACAGUAAAAUGCAGGAAAAAAGUUGAGUUGAAUAUCCACUGCAUAGUAUCUUUUAAACACUUAUAUUAUGAAGUGGUGUAAUAUAACCAUUAAAAGUGAAGUGUUUAAUUAUUCAACUGUACUCCCAAAGAAAUUUAAUCCAUUAAAAUCAGACUGUGUAGAGGGAAAACCA
rnacentral:misc_RNA from 1 species